rnacentral:rRNA from 1 species
UACAGAGGGUGCGAGCGUUAAUCGGAAUUACUGGGCGUAAAGCGUGCGCAGGCGGUCAUGCAAGACAGAUGUGAAAUCCCCGGGCUCAACCUGGGAACUGCAUUUGUGACUGCAUGGCUGGAGUGCGGCAGAGGGGGAUGGAAUUCCGCGUGUAGCAGUGAAAUGCGUAGAUAUGCGGAGGAACACCGAUGGCGAAGGCAAUCCCCCUGGGCCUGCACUGACGCUCAUGCACGAAAGCGUGGGGAGCAACAGG